rnacentral:rRNA from 1 species
GGGUUGUGAGGUUAAGCGACUAAGCGUACACGGUGGAUGCCCUGGCAGUCAGAGGCGAUGAAGGGCGUGCUAAUCUGCGAUAAGCGCCGGUAAGGUGAUAUGAACCGUUAUAACCGGCGAUACCCGAAUGGGGAAACCCAGUGUGACUCGUCACACUAUCAUUAACUGAAUCCAUAGGUUAAUGAGGCGAACCGGGGGAACUGAAACAUCUAAGUACCCCGAGGAAAAGAAAUCAACCGAGAUUCCCCCAGUAGCGGCGAGCGAACGGGGAGGAGCCCAGAGCCUGAAUCAGCAUGUGUGUUAGUGGAAGCGUCUGGAAAGGCGCGCGAUACAGGGUGAUAGCCCCGUACACAAAAGCGCAUGUGUUGUGAGCUCGAUGAGUAGGGCGGGACACGUGGUAUCCUGUCUGAAUAUGGGGGGACCAUCCUCCAAGGCUAAAUACUCCUGACUGACCGAUAGUGAACCAGUACCGUGAGGGAAAGGCGAAAAGAACCCCGGCGAGGGGAGUGAAAAAGAACCUGAAACCGUGUACGUACAAGCAGUGGGAGCACAGGUUUACCUGUGUGACUGCGUACCUUUUGUAU